GAGCUCAGUGGCAGAACAUCUGCUUUCCAUGUAGAAGGCUCCAGGUUCAAUCUCUGGCAUCUCCA
rnacentral:tRNA from 1 species